UUCAAAUGAGAGUUUGAUCCUGGCUCAGGAUAAACGCUGGCGGCAUGCCUAAUACAUGCAAGUCGAACGGGGGUGCUUGCACCCCAGUGGCGAACGGGUGAGUAACACGUAUCUAAUCUACCUUAUAGCGGGGGAUAGCCUUUGGAAACGAAGGGUAAUACCGCAUGAGAAUUUCAUUAUCGCAUGAGAAGAAAUUGAAAGCACCGUUUGGUGCACUAUAAGAUGAGGAUGCGGCGUAUUAGCUAGUAGGCGGGGUAAAGGCCCACCUAGGCAAUGAUACGUAGCCGAACUGAGAGGUUGAUCGGCCACAUUGGGACUGAGAUACGGCCCAGACUCCUACGGGAGGCAGCAGUAGGGAAUUUUUCACAAUGGACGAAAGUCUGAUGAAGCAAUGCCGCGUGAGUGAUGACGGUCUUCGGAUUGUAAAGCUCUGUUGUAAGGGAAGAACACUUAGGAGAGGAAAUGCUCUUAAGCUGACGGUACCUUACCAGAAAGCCACGGCUAACUAUGUGCCAGCAGCCGCGGUAAUACAUAGGUGGCAAGCGUUAUCCGGAUUUAUUGGGCGUAUAGGGUGCGUAGGCGGAUUUGCAAGUUUGAGGUUAAAGCCCGGGGCUCAACCCCGGUUCGCCUUGAAAACUGCAGUUCUAGAAUACAAGAGAGGUAAGCGGAAUUCCAUGUGUAGCGGUGAAAUGCGUAGAUAUAUGGAAGAACACCUGUGGCGAAAGCGGCUUACUGGCUUGUUAUUGACGCUGAGGCACGAAAGCGUGGGGAGCAAAUAGGAUUAGAUACCCUAGUAGUCCACGCCGUAAACGUUGAGUACUAAGUGUCGGGGGUUAUACCUCGGUGCUGCAGCUAACGCAUUAAGUACUCCGCCUGAGUAGUAUGCUCGCAAGAGUGAAACUCAAAGGAAUUGACGGGGACCCGCACAAGUGGUGGAGCAUGUGGUUUAAUUCGAAGCAACACGAAGAACCUUACCAGGGCUUGACAUCCAGUGCAAAGCUACAGAGAUGUAGUGGAGGCUAACAUUGAGACAGGUGGUGCAUGGUUGUCGUCAGUUCGUGCCGUGAGGUGUUGGGUUAAGUCCCGCAACGAACGCAACCCUUGUCGUUAGUUACUAACAUUUAGUUGAGGACUUUAACGAGACUGCUAGUGUAAGCUAGAGGAAGGUGGGGAUGACGUCAAAUCAUCAUGCCCCUUAUGUCCUGGGCUACACACGUGCUACAAUGGCAGAUACAAAGAGUCGCAAUCUCGCGAGGGGGAGCUAAUCUCAAAAAGUCUGUCUCAGUUCGGAUUGAAGUCUGCAACUCGACUUCAUGAAGCCGGAAUCACUAGUAAUCGCGAAUCAGCUAUGUCGCGGUGAAUACGUUCUCGGGUCUUGUACACACCGCCCGUCACACCACGAGAGUUGGUAAUACCAGAAGUAGGUAGCUUAACCGUAAGGAGAGCGCUUCCCAAGGUAGGAUUAGCGAUUGGGGUGAAGUCGUAACAAGGUAUCCGUACGGGAACGUGCGGAUGGAUCACCUCCUUUCUA
rnacentral:rRNA from 1 species